ACAGCUGGUAUGGAAGAAACAGCUGGUAUGGAAGAAACAGCUGGUAUGGAAGAAACAGCUGGUGUGAAUAAAACUGAUAUGGAAGAAAUAACUGAUAUGAAUAAAAGUAAUGUGUCAUUACUAACUGCAAAGAAUAUAGAAGAUGUUAAUCCUACUUUCGAAAAUAUAUUUAAAUUUGAACAUAUAUCUACAAAAUUAAAUGAUUUUAUGUAUGUAAAUAAAAAUGAAAAUAUUGUUUCCCCACUUAUACAAAUAGCUCCUAUGAUAAAUGUGACGAAUAGACAUUUCCGAGCACUAGUUAGAAUGCUUACUAAAAAAGCACAAGUAUGGACAGAAAUGUUAGUAGAUAAUACUUUAUUAUAUAACUUAGACAAUUUGGAUGAAUAUCUUGGAUUUAAUAAUAAUGAGCAUCCUAUUGUUUGUCAGUUAGGAGGGUCUGAUACUACAUCUUUAGCAGAAGCAGCGAUUUUAGUUGAAAGAGCAGGCUAUGAUGAAAUUAAUUUAAAUGUAGGUUGUCCAAGUAUGAAAGUUGCUAAUAAAGGUGCAUUUGGAGCAUAUUUAAUGAUAAAUCCUGAACAAGUUAGAAAUAUUGUUUAUGAAAUUAAAAAAAAAGUACAAAUACCUGUUUCAGUAAAAAUAAGAACAGGUGUUGAUAAUUAUGAUUCGUUUUCUUUUUUAAAAAAUUUUAUUAACAUAGUAUCUUCAUCAGGUUGUAAUCAUUUUAUUGUUCAUGCAAGAAAAGCAUGGUUAAAAGGAUUAAACCCAAAACAAAAUAGGGAUAUACCACCAUUAGAAUAUAAAAAAGUAUAUGAUUUAUGUAAAUUAUAUCCACAUUUAAAAUUUACAUUGAAUGGUGGAAUAAAAACAAUACAAGAAGCAAUUGCUUUAUUAAAUGGAUAUAUACCACAAACGAAUAAUUAUGCAGACUCAAACAACGAUAUUAAUAAUGGCACUAACCAGUUAAACAAUAAAAAAAAUAAAAAAAUUAAUAAAUCAGAUAAAAAACAUGAGAAUAAUUAUAUAGAAAUUGAAAAUUAUCAUACAAAUGUAUUAAACGGUGUAAUGAUAGGUAGAGCAUGUAUGGAAAACACUACCAUAUUAUCCCAAAUCGAUAAAUUAAUUUAUAAUGUUGAUACACCUGACACAGCAUAUAGUAGAAGAACUGUAUUAAAUGCUUAUCAAUUGUAUUUAGAACAAAAUCCAAUUUUUUCAAAACUAUCCAGUGCUUUUGAAAUAUUAAAACCGAUUUUAGGUAUAAUGAAAGGUAUGCCAGGUCACCGAAUUUAUAGAAACAAAUUAGAUACAUAUAUAAGGAAUUAUUCAACUACUCUUAACUGUUCUGAAAUUUUACAAAAAGCUAUUACAGAUGUUGAUAAAAUUGCCCCAGGUUGUUUGGAUUUACCUUUACAUGAUUAUGAGAAGCAACAAGAGUAUAUUAAAAAUUAUUAAAUUAAAAAUUAUUAAAUAAAAAAAGUGCGGAAACAGAAACA
rnacentral:lncRNA from 1 species